rnacentral:rRNA from 1 species
GGAAGCCUGAUCCAGCCAUCCCGCGUGCAGGAAGACGGCCUUAUGGGUUGUAAACUGCUUUUGUAUAGGAAUAAACCACCCGACGUGUCGGGUGUUGAAGGUACUUUACGAAUAAGCAUCGGCUAACUCCGUGCCAGCAGCCGCGGUAAUACGGAGGAUGCAAGCGUUAUCCGGAUUUAUUGGGUUUAAAGGGUCCGUAGGCGGGCUCGUAAGUCAGGGGUGAAAUCCGGCAGCUUAACUGUCGAACUGCCUUUGAAACUGCGGGUCUUGAGUCAGAAUGAGGCAGCUGGAACGAGUAGUGUAGCGGUGAAAUGCAUAGAUAUUACUCAGAACAUCAAUAGCGAAGGCAGGUUGCCAAUUCUGUACUGACGCUAAUGGACGAAAGCGUGGGGAGCAAACAGGAUUAGAUACCCUGGUAGUCCACGCCGUAAACGAUGGAUACUGUCUAUUGGGGGUAACUUCAGUGGAUAAGCGAAAGUGAUAAGUAUCCC